AGAUGUGUUUAUUUUGGAGCCUACACCAGCGCCUUUUUUGUUUGCUCUUUCCGGCAAUUCCCCAGUGAGGAAGCCCCUGGAGGAAAGUCUUUCGCUACCGUCGGCACUGGAGGGGAAGCCUGGGGAGAGGGGAACUGGCUAAAGGGCAAAAUGUCACUGAGGAACUUCGGAGAAGAUGGGGACAAGGCGUCGGGCGGGGGAGCCAGCGCUCAGGAGCCCAGGCACCAUACUGUCUUUUCGAGGUAUGGUGCUGGGUGCAGAUGCAGUGUGGCUCUGGAUAGCACCUUAUGGACAGUUGUGUCCCCAAGGAAGGAUGAGAAUAGCUACUGAAGUCCUAAAGAGCAAGCCUAACUCAAGCCAUUGGCACACAGGCAUUAGACAGAAAGCUGGAAGUUGAAAUGGUGGAGUCCAACUUGCCUGGACCAGCUUAAUGGUUCUGCUCCUGGUAACGUUUUUAUCCAUGGAUGACUUGCUUGGGUAAGGACAUGAAGACAGUUCCUGUCAUACCUUUUAAAGGUAUGGAGAGUCGGCUUGACUACACUGUGUGGAGCAAGUUUUAAAGAAGCAAAGGACUCAGAAUUCAUGAUUGAAGAAAUGCAGGCAGACCUGUUAUCCUAAACUAGGGUUUUUAAUGACCACAACAAGCAAGCAUGCAGCUUACUGCUUGAAAGGGUCUUGCCUCACCCAAGCUAGAGUGCAGUGGCCUUUGAAGCUUACUACAGCCUCAAACUUCUGGGCUCAAGUGAUCCUCAGCCUCCCAGUGGUCUUUGUAGACUGCCUGAUGGAGUCUCAUGGCACAAGAAGAUUAAAACAGUGUCUCCAAUUUUAAUAAAUUUUUGCAAUCCA
rnacentral:lncRNA from 1 species